CAGUAGCCGCGGGAACACGUAGGGUGCGAGCGUUAAUCGGAAUUACUGGGCGUAAAGCGCGCGCAGGCGGUUGUGUAAGACAGGUGCGAAAUCCCCGGGCUUAACCUGGGAACUGCGCUUGUGACUGCACAGCUAGAGUAUGGCAGAGGGGGGUGGAAUUCCACGUGUAGCAGUGAAAUGCGUAGAGAUGUGGAGGAACACCGAUGGCGAAGGCAGCCCCCUGGGCCAAUACUGACGCUCAUGCACGAAAGCGUGGGGGGCAAACAGGAUUAGAUACCCCUGUAGUCCCUGUCUCUUAUAC
rnacentral:rRNA from 1 species